rnacentral:rRNA from 1 species
GGCGAACGGGUGAGUAACGCGUUGGUGACCUACCCCAAAGUGUGGGAUAACAGUCCGAAAGGAUUGCUAAUACCGCAUGUGGUCUCUGGAUUUAGAAACCGGUGACUAAAGGAGCAAUUCGCUUUGGGAGGGACCUGCGUCCCAUCAGCUAGUUGGUGAGGUAACGGCUCACCAAGGCGACGACGGGUAGGGGACCUGAGAGGGUGGCCCCCCACAAUGGAACUGAAACACGGUCCAUACACCUACGGGUGGCAGCAGUAGGGAAUAUUGGUCAAUGGGCGAAAGCCUGAACCAGCAACGCCGCGUGUGCGAUGAAGGCCUUCGGGUCGUAAAGCACUUUUCUGGGAGAUGAGAAAGGACAGUAUCCCAGGAAUAAGUCUCGGCUAACUACGUGCCAGCAGCCGCGGUAAAACGUAGGAGGCGAGCGUUAUCCGGAUUCACUGGGCGUAAAGCGCGUGCAGGUGGCUUGGUAAGUUAGGCGUGAAAUCUCCCGGCUCAACUGGGAGAGGUCGUCUAAUACUACCGGGCUUGAGAGCAGAAGAGGAAGAUGGAAUUCCCGGUGUAGUGGUGAAAUGCGUAGAUAUCGGGAGGAACACCAGUGGCGAAGGCGAUCUUCUGGUCUGUUUCUGACACUCAGACGCGACAGCUAGGGUAGUAAACGGGAUUAGAGACCCCGGUAAUCCUAGCCGUAAACGAUGUAAACUUGGCGUUGGUGGGUUAAACUCCAUCAGUGCCGCAGCAAAC